AGUGAACGCUGGCGGUAGGCCUAACACAUGCAAGUCGAACGGCAGCACAGUAAGAGCUUGCUCUUACGGGUGGCGAGUGGCGGACGGGUGAGGAAUACAUCGGAAUCUACUUUUUCGUGGGGGAUAACGUAGGGAAACUUACGCUAAUACCUCAUACGACCUACGGGUGAAAGCAGGGGAUCUUCGGACCUUGCGCGAUUGAAUGAGCCGAUGUCGGAUUAGCUAGUUGGCUGGGUAAAGGCCCACCAAGGCGACGAUCCGUAGCUGGUCUGAGAGGAUGAUCAGCCACACUGGAACUGAGACACGGUCCAGACUCCUACGGGAGGCAGCAGUGGGGAAUAUUGGACAAUGGGCGCAAGCCUGAUCGAGCAAUACCGCGUGGGUGAAGAAGGCCUUCGGGUUGUAAAGCCCUUUUGUUGGGAAAGAAAAGCAGCAGGUUAAUACCCCGCUGUUCUGACGGUACCCAAAGAAUAAGCACCGGCUAACUUCGUG
rnacentral:rRNA from 1 species